UUAAUGUGUUAACUCAAUUAACAUUCAGCAAUCAUGCAAUUAUUCCAUUUGACUUCAAUUAACAAAAGACUAAUUAAGAACAUGAAAGGGAUUAGGGUUACUUUCACAUGUGACUAUUCAGCUUCUCGAAGAAAGACUUAUUUCUCCCUCCCCUCACGGCGGCGCAUCUCUCAGACGCCUCUCCCCUCUUCUCUCAUCUCGUUCUCUCUCUAUCCAUGUUCAAUCUUCUUCUUCUUGAUUUCUUCUAAUCCGAUCUUGUUUCGAAUUUGGAAUGGUGAUGAGAUAGUUAUAAUUAUUGUACCGAUUCGUAUGCAGAGAUUGAUGAGAGUUGCUGCGAUGUGAUGAUGAAGCUUGUAGUGAAGAUGAAGAUGACGCGAUAAGGAUCGUUGUGAUGAAUAAUCGGAUGUCGAUUGAAGGCGUGAUGGAUUUGCGUGAUCGACAAUAACAUUGUGAAUCCUUCUUCGCUCAGAUUGCAGAUUCGAAUAUGAUGAUUGAUGAAGCUGUUACGAGCUUGAAGAUGAAGGCAGUUACGAUAUGAUUUAGUAAGGGAUGAUUGUUGACUCACUGCAGGCUCAGGAGAAGUAGCGGAUUGAAGUUGAUGAUGAAGUGAAGAAGAUUGUUCUGGUUUUUGUUAGAUUUUUGAGAAGUGAGAUCGAUUAACUUCAAAGUGUUUUCUAGUGAUUCGUGAAGAGCAACAUCGGCGAGAGCCCGAAGAGAAGAUUCAAUCUGAAGUCGUGAAUAUGGAGGGAUCAAUAAAGCUAUCCAAUUCUGUUAGAGGCUCGGUUUUGAGUGAAAUUAGGGAGGAUUCAAGAUUUGCAAAGAUGCGAGAUUUGUUUGAAGGUGAUGUUUGUGGUUGCAGAAGAUUGAUUAUGGUUGAAUCUGUUUCAGGUUUCUGAUUGAAGAUGAAGAUGAAUGUGAUGAGAUGCGAGAGAGAGAUGGGGAAGGUUCCAGAGAGAGUUUUUAAUCGUGAAGAGAUUCUAGAGCCCGAAGAAGUUUGUUACAUUUCUGUUAUGAGGUUUUUUUCACUCUUUCCUCUUACGUUUUUCUUUUGCUAAUUUUUUAUUGUGAAGCCUCUGAAUCUCCCCUUUUUUGAUUGCACAUGUGAAUGCCUUUUAUUGUGAUACAGAGUUAUGCAGGGUUGUUGAUUCUUUGAACCGGGUUUGAUGCAAGUUUCGGUUUAAUUUGUUGCUGCAGGUUUUUUUGGAUUGAUUUUAUGGAGAUAACAUUGAAGGUUGGUUCGAGGCGGCAUGUGGUGCAGAGUUUUUUUUUGGCUUCGUGUAACUUGGCCUUUCUUUUUUUCU